UACGGAGGGUGCAAGCGUUAUCCGGAUUUAUUGGGUUUAAAGGGUCCGUAGGCGGAUCUGUAAGUCAGUGGUGAAAUCUCACAGCUUAACUGUGAAACUGCCAUUGAUACUGCAGGUCUUGAGUGUUGUUGAAGUAGCUGGAAUAAAGUAGUGUAGCGGUGAAAUGCAUAGAUAUUACUUAGAACACCAAAUUGCGAAGGCAGGUUACUAAGCAAACAACUGA
rnacentral:rRNA from 1 species